GACGAACGCUGGCGGCGUGCUUAACACAUGCAAGUCGAACGAAGAGCGAUGGAAGCUUGCUUCUAUCAAUCUUAGUGGCGAACGGGUGAGUAACGCGUAAUCAACCUGCCCUUCAGAGGGGGACAACAGUUGGAAACGACUGCUAAUACCGCAUACGAUCUAAUCUCGGCAUCGAGGAUAGAUGAAAGGUGGCCUCUACAUGUAAGCUAUCACUUCAGGGUGGGAUUGCGUCUGAUUAGCUAGUUGGAGGGGUAACGGCCCACCAAGGCGAUGAUCAGUAGCCGGUCGGAGAGGAUGAACGGCCACAUUGGGAGUGAGACACGGCCCAGACGGCUACGGGAGGCAGCAGUGGGGAAACUUCCGCAAUGGACGAAAGUCUGACGGAGCAACGCCGCGGGAGGGAUGACGGCCGUCGGGUUGUAAAGCUCGGUUAAUCGGGACGAAAGGCCUUCUGGCGAAUAGUGGGAAGGAUUGACGGUACCGGAAUAGAAAGCCACGGCUAACUACGUG
rnacentral:rRNA from 1 species